ensembl:lncRNA
GUUCUAGCCUUAGUAUCUAAGCCUAACGUUUUCUAAAGCUGACGGGUCGCUGGCUAACUAACCAAGCUAACGAGCUGUGGUUGCUAGUAUGUUUAGGUCAAAAUUGCAUCACAAAUCUACCGCUGAACAAUGUCUGAGACGAGGCUGAGUGUUCAUAACCAUUUUCAUGCAAUAACUUCUGGGAAGGAGCUUCUAGAGGCAUUCAACUCUAAGACGUCUGGUUCCUAUCACCACCACUGUAAACGAUUCUGUCUUGAGCUGCAGCUGGGUCUCAUGGGGCCAAUGCAGAGCGGUGCCGGGGACACGGCGGUCCACGAGGUCACGCUUUUCACAGAUCUCCCCCAGCAGGCGGACAUCCGCAUCACACAGAGUGAUUGA